UACGUAGGCAGCAAGCGUUGUUCGGAGUUACUGGGCGUAAAGGGUGUGUAGGCGGUUUCUUACGUUUGCUGUGAAAUCUCCCGGCUUAACCGGGAGGGUGCGGUGAAUACUGAGGGACUAGAGUACGGGAGAGGAAAGUGGAAUUCCUGGUGUAGCGGUGAAAUGCGUAGAUAUCAGGAGGAACACCGGUGGUGUAGACGGCUUUCUGGACCGUAACUGACGCUGAGACACGAAAGCGUGGGUAGUAAACAGG
rnacentral:rRNA from 1 species